GAUGAACGCUGGCGGCGUGCCUAAUACAUGCAAGUCGAGCGAACAGACGAGGAGCUUGCUCCUCUGACGUUAGCGGCGGACGGGUGAGUAACACGUGGAUAACCUACCUAUAAGACUGGGAUAACUUCGGGAAACCGGAGCUAAUACCGGAUAAUAUAUUGAACCGCAUGGUUCAAUAGUGAAAGACGGUUUUGCUGUCACUUAUAGAUGGAUCAGCGCCGCAUUAGCUAGUUGGUAAGGUAACGGCUUACCAAGGGAACGAUGCGUAGCCGACCUGAGAGGGUGAUCGGCCACACUGGAACUGAGACACGGUCCAGGCUCCUACGGGAGGCAGCAGUAGGGAAUCUUCCGCAAUGGGCGAAAGCCUGACGGAGCAACGCCGCGUGAGUGAUGAAGGUCUUCGGAUCGUAAAACUCUGUUAUUAGGGAAGAACAAAUGUGUAAGUAACUAUGCACGUCUUGACGGUACCUAAUCAGAAAGCCACGGCUAACUACGUG
rnacentral:rRNA from 1 species